rnacentral:rRNA from 1 species
UACAGAGGUCUCAAGCGUUGUUCGGAUUCAUUGGGCGUAAAGGGUGCGUAGGCGGCGCGGUAAGUCGGGUGUGAAAAUCUCGGAGCUUUAACUCCGAAAACUGCAUUCGAUCUGCCGUGCUUUGAGGACUGGAGAGGAGACUGGAAUUCCUGGUGUAGCGGUGGGAAAUGCGCAGAUAUCAGGAGGGAAACACCGAUGGCGAAGGGCAGGG